rnacentral:rRNA from 1 species
ACCUGCACAGCAGAACGACCCGCGAACACGUCAAGAACACUGGGAAAGCGGGCAUGCCCGCCGCCCCUUGUCGGCGCGUGCGCCCUUUGGGGGUGCGCGUCGGCACAAAACGAACCCCGGCGCGGUCCGCGCCAAGGAAAACAUAACUCAAAGAGCGCCUCGCCUGCUGUCACCCCWUUCGCGGUGCGUGCAUGGUCGGCGGUCGCCUCUUAGUGAAAAACACAAACGACUCUCGGCAACGGAUAUCUCGGCUCUCGCAUCGAUGAAGAACGUAGCGAAAUGCGAUACUUGGUGUGAAUUGCAGAAUCCCGUGAACCAUCGAGUCUUUGAACGCAAGUUGCGCCCGAAGCCAUUAGGCCGAGGGCACGUCUGCAUGGGCGUCACGCAUCGCGUCGCCCCCCCUUACCGAAACAAAAAAAGGAAGAGSGGGGAGCGGAUACUGGCCUCCCGUGCCUCAUGGUGCGGCUGGCUCAAAAKGGAGUCCCCUGUGAAGGACGCACGACAAGUGGUGGUUGAUAACAAGGCCCUCGCAUCAUGUUGUGCGCACGUCCUGAGUUGGGAUUUGGCUCUUGCGACCCUGACGCGCCUUACUGAGGCGCUCCGACCGCSACCCCA